rnacentral:rRNA from 1 species
GACGAACGCUGGCGGCGUGCUUAACACAUGCAAGUCGAACGGAAAGGCCCUGCUUUUGUGGGGUGCUCGAGUGGCGAACGGGUGAGUAACACGUGAGUAACCUGCCCUUGACUUUGGGAUAACUUCAGGAAACUGGGGCUAAUACCGGAUAGGAGCUCCUGCUGCAUGGUGGGGGUUGGAACGUUUCGGCGGUUGGGGAUGGACUCGCGGCUUAUCAGCUUGUUGGUGGGGUAGUGGCUUACCAAGGCUUUGACGGGUAGCCGGCCUGAGAGGGUGACCGGCCACAUUGGGAGUGAGCUACGGGCCAGACUCCUACGGGAGGCAGCAGGGGGGAAUAUUGCACAAUGGGCGGAAGCCUGAUGCAGCAACGCCGCGUGGGGGAUGACGGCCUUGGGGUUGUAAACCGCUUUCGCCUGUGACGAAGCGUGAGUGACGGUAAUGGGUAAAGAAGCACCGGCUAACUACGUG